UAUGGUUUAUUAGAUCGUGCGUUCUACGUGGAUAACUGUGGUAAUUCUAGAGCUAAUACAUGCAACUGGCCCUAACUUUACAGAGGGGCGCUUUUAUUAGAUCAAAAUCAAUCAGGUUUCGGCCUGUUUUUGUGGUGACUCUGGAUAACUUUGUGCCGACCGCAUGGCCUUGCGCCGGCGGCGUAUCUUUCAAAUGUCUGCCCUAUCAACUUUCGAUGGUAGGUGACAUGCCUACCAUGGUUGUAACGGGUAACGGAGAAUCAGGGUUCGAUUCAGGAGAGGGAGCCUGAGAAACGGCUACCACA
rnacentral:rRNA from 1 species